GGUGAGAUGGCCGAGCGGUCUAAGGCGCCACGUUAAGGUCUUCCUUAAUCAACAUCUACCAGCUAGAUUCCGUGGUCCGAAAGGGCGUGGGUUCGAAUCCCACUCUCAUCA
rnacentral:tRNA from 2 species